AAGAAAACAACACAGAUACACACUCUCAGCAGCAGUCUUACCCUGAAAAGCCUAGCAUGUACACUUUCCAGGAAGUUCUUCACUUACUUCUGAAGGAAGUGUCUUUCUUCCAUACAUGCACAGCUGAGUUGUUUUCUACUGGGAGGACAAACAGGGAGCAUUUGAGGGCGAGAUGGAGAAACAGCUGAGGUGAGUAGGGAGGGAAAAUGGCCUAGCAGCAGUAGAGGGUACUGGGACAGUGGAUGUUCAGUAUGGGCUGGUGCCCUCCACGGGGGAGCUGAGGAAGGACACUUCUCUACCCUACAUUCUGCACCUGGUGCUGGGCUCUGGCAGGCAGCCAUUCUCCCGCUACACCCUGUGUUAUCCAUCCACUGCUCAACAGCACCUCAGCCUCCCUCGGUCGUCCCUCUCUGUCAGUCCCAGAGUUGUCAGCAGCGCUAUCAUUCACAGAGGCCCACUGAAAGAUUUAAUAAUUGAGAAAUGUUAUGGCAUCAUUAAGGAGAACGGGUGGAAGAAGAUUGAGACGGCCUUUCAAGUACCAGACAGGUGAGACUAGAAGCACUAGCCAGGAGGCCCUGACCCUUGACCUCUCAUCUCCGACCUUGGAUCAUCAGCUGGGCUGCUCCGGGUGGCCAAAUGAGCUGACCUGACCUCAACCGUAUCAGUGACCCCGGGUCACUGCCAGUUGUUAUUUGACUGCAACAGUACACAACAAGCCCGGGAAAGAGACAGAGAAGACGACCAAUGGAAGACAUACCCAAGUAUAAGUGACUUAAGUAAAAGUACCAAUUCAUUAAUGUAGAAAUACUCCAUUAGAUAAGUACAAAUCCUGAGUGCAAAAUCCUACUUAAAGAGGCUAUGAUCGAUAAAUGGUUUAGAACAAUCAAAAAUGUGAAAUGGGUUGUUCAUAAUGGUGAACCUCUUGAGUAUUAUCACCUACAGUAAAUCUGUUUAAGGAGCUU